rnacentral:sRNA from 1 species
UUGUUGGGGUUCUUGUGGUUGCAGGUAUUGUUGCAGUUGUUGUUGGGGUUGCUGAAAUUGUGGCAGUUGUUGAAAUUGUUGAGGUUGCUGAAAUUGUUGCGGUUGUUGUUGGAAAGGUUGCGGUUGUUGUUGCUGGAAUUGUUGCAGUUGCGGUUGCUGGAAUGGUUGCAGUUGUUGCUGGAAUGGUUGCGAUUGUUGCUGGAAUGGUUGCGGUUGUUGUUGUUGCGGUUGCUGGAAUUGCUGUUGUUGCUGCUUCUGGACUUUUUGUUGUUGCGGUUGAGAAUUACCAGCAGCUCCAAAAACAGGAAAACCGAUAAGAGCUUUUUGGACCUGGAGAUCGUGAGGACUACCUGAAGCAGCAUUUGUCUGAUAAUUAUACGGACUGCCAACGACAACUGGCGAUGACAGUUGUGCUGCUUGAUUUAGUUGAAUUGGUUCGGCGGUGGUGCAGGCCAAAUGAGCCACAAAACCGCAAGGAUGGCAUAAAUGAAGGUCUUGCUGCUGGUAGGCCCUGGAGGAAGUGAGAAGGAGAGAACGAGUUGGUGAGGGUGGGAGUGGUGAGUAUGAACCAACGGCUUUGAAGCACAAGUUGUGUGGAGAUCAAUCUUGCAAUCUCCGCAGUGGUAGGAAAAUCCAUUUCCGUGCUUAUUGCAUGCACAGCAAUUGAAGACCCCAUCAGAGUAUAUUGGGGUUGGGAGCAGAGUCAGGACAUGUUUAUUCUCAUCACAUGGAUGCGUAAUUUGCUGAGGCAUUUGUGAACAUGAGACAUGGAGCAAGUAAUUGCAUGGCGUGCAACUGUAAAUCCAUCCGGCAGAGGCAUCCAGUUUGCAGGCUGAACAAGAGGUAGCUAGCCACUGCCCGUUUGAGAUUUGCUGGGGAUGUGGGUGAUGAAGAUUGGAAAGGAUCAAGGGAUGUGGGUGGCUAAAAUGUUGAAGCACGGCCUCAGGUUGAGGUUGACCAGCGACCUGCAUGAUCAUCUCUCACUCUCUCACACAAGCACAGAGGGAGGAACUUGUCUUUCAGAUGACCUCUAGCUAGCUUCCUUCUU